rnacentral:tRNA from 1 species
GGGGAGGUGUCUCGGGGGUUAAGAGAACUGGCUUCUCUUCCAGAGGACCUGGGUUCAAUUCCCAGGCACCCCCA